UACGUAGGGGGCGAGCGUUGUCCGGAAUUAUUGGGCGUAAAGAGCGUGUAGGCGGUUCGGUAAGUCUGCCGUGAAAACCUGGGGCUCAACCCUGGGCGUGCGGUGGAUACUGCCGGGCUAGAGGGUGGUAGAGGCGAGUGGAAUUCCCGGUGUAGCGGUGAAAUGCGCAGAUAUCAGGAGGAACACCAAUGGCGAAGGCAGCUCGCUGGAACGGUACUGACGCUGAGGCGCGAAAGCGUGGGGAGCGAACAGG
rnacentral:rRNA from 1 species